UUAACGAUUUAAAAAGUACCACUCAGACGACAUGGGUUAUCAUAGAAUUUAGGAAGGCUACUGGCGGGCACGGACCAGAGGCGAACCUCCGGCGGCCCAAUAAGGACGGGCCCGCCAAAGCAACAUGGUGUGAUAAACAAGGGGUUGGAAGUCGGGCCAGAACGACCCUAACUCGAUAAUGAUCCUUCCGCAGGUUCACCUACGGAAA
rnacentral:misc_RNA from 1 species